CUGCCAAGCUUUAUGAGCUCUUGGAGGCAGCUAAGGCAGGAGACACCCCAUUAAUUUCGAUGAAGCGAUCAGAUGGGUUUAAAGACUGAUUUGCCUUCUCGGCAACGCUAACACAGCCAUGUCGGCUGAAUGCCGCAAGGCGAUCUUGCUCAAGAUUGAGCCAAAAUUGGUAAACCUGGCGGUGAAAGAACCGGGUGUUGCCGCCAAAGGCAUGCUCUUCGGUGAGUCCUUUGUUAAGGACCUGGGCUCCCUUGUGCGCACCUUCACCGCCCUAGAUAAGGCCUAGUCCAACUUGAAACGUGUUUUUGGCCCAAAGGUUUUCCAAGGGAUCAGGUGAUAUAGGAGCCAUCCGCCCGGCCAUGGGUCUCGAGGUCUGUCACGG